UUGAUCAGAAAUGCAGCUUC
rnacentral:miRNA from 1 species